AUAAAGUGUCCAAACACAGAGAAAAACUCCUGCUGAAGCGACUGACCUCCACACUGUUAUAAAGAUGGCGUUUAUUAAAGAGGAGAGUGAAGAUGUGAAGAUUGAAGAAACAUUUACAGUCAAACAGGAAGAUCUGCAGGAACAAACAAACCUAAUUGAAGAGAGUGAGGGGAGUAAAGAGGAGGAACACCAUGUUAAAAUUGAGGACAAAACUCAUUUACAGACUGAUGGCAUUUUGAAAAGGAGAGACAAGAAUCGUUUCACCUGUACUCAGUGUGGGAAGAGUUUUGGAGGAAAUAGCAAUCUUAAGAUUCACAUGAUAAUCCACACCGGAAAGAAACCAUUCACAUGCACUCAGUGUGGGAAGAGUUUCAGCCAAUCAUCACACCUUAAUGACCACAUGAUGAUCCACACUGGAGAGAAACCAUUCACAUGCACUCAGUGUGGGAAGAGUUUCAUCCGGUUAUCAUUGCUUAAUCAACACAUGAUGAUUCACACUGGAGAGAAACCAUUCACAUGCACUCAGUGUGGGAAGAGUUUCAGGCAAUCAUCAUACCUUAAUGAACACAUGAAGAUCCACACCGGAGAGAAACCAUUCACAUGCACUCAGUGUUGGAAGAGUUUCAGCCGCUCAUCAGAACUUAAUCAACACAUGAGGAUCCACACUGAAGAGAAACCAUUCACAUGCACUCAGUGUGGGAAGAGUUUCAGCUGCUCAUCAUCCCUUAAUAAACACAUGAGGAUCCACACUGGAGAGAAACCAUUCACAUGCACUCAGUGUGAAAAGAGUUUCGGCCGCUCGUCAUACCUUAAUCAACACAUGAGGAUCCACACUGGAGAGAAACCAUUCACAUGCACUCAGUGUGGGAAGAUUUUCGGCCGCUCAUCAUACCUUAAUCAACACAUGAGGAUCCACACUGGAGAGAAACUAUUUACAUGCACUCAGUGUGGGAAGAGUUUCGGCCGCUCAUCACACCUUAAUCAACACAUGAGGAUCCACACUGGAGAGAAACCAUUCACAUGCACUCAGUGUGGGAAGAGUUUCAGACAACCAUCACUCCUUUAUCUACACAUGGUAAGCCACAACGGAGAGAAACCCACAGCUUCGGUGUGGGAUGAGUUUCAGCAACUCCUCAGACCUUAAUAAACACAUGAUGACCCACACUGUAGAUAAACCAUUCACAUGCACUCUGUGUGGGAAGAGUAUCAACCAAUCAGUCAACCCUAAUGAACACAUUAAGAUCCACACUGGUGUGGAAGAGUAUUUGUGCUUUGAGUGUGAGAAGACUUUUAUUACAGCUCUAAAAUUAAAACUGCACCAGACGUUUCACACUG
ensembl:processed_transcript